UGAUGACAGCAAGCCGGAAGCGGAUGGG
rnacentral:piRNA from 1 species